rnacentral:rRNA from 1 species
GGGCUUGACAUCCCACGAACCUGUCCGAAAGGCUAGAGUGCCCGCAAGGGGGCGUGGAGACAGGUGGUGCAUGGCUGUCGUCAGCUCGUGUCGUGAGAUGUUGGGUUAAGUCCCGCAACGAGCGCAACCCUCACCUCUUGUUGCCACCGGAUCAUGCCGAGCACUCUAGGGGAACUGCCACGGUCAACGUGGAGGAAGGCGGGGAUGACGUCAAGUCAUCAUGCCCCUUACGUCCUGGGCUACACACGUGCUACAAUGGCCGGUACAAAGGGACGCCACACCGCGAGGGAGAGCUAAACCCAAAAAACCGGUCUAAGUUCAGAUUGGAGUCUGCAACUCGACUCCAUGAAGGAGGAAUCGCUAGUAAUCGCGUAUCAGCACGACGCGGUGAAUACGUUCCCGGGCCUUGUACACACCGCCCGUCACACCACGAAAGCCGUCUGUACUCGAAGUCGCUGAGA